rnacentral:rRNA from 1 species
CUACGGGUGGCUCCAGUCGGGAAACUUCUACAAUGCACGCAAGUGUGAUAGAGCAAGCCAGAGUGCUUUCCUAUAAUUGGAAAGCUUUUGUGAGAUGCAAAAAGUCUCACGAAUAAGGACUGGGAAAGACUGGUGCCAGCCGCCGCGGUAAUACCAGCGGUCCAAGUAGCAGCCACUUUUAUUGGGUCUAAAACAUCCGUAGCUUGUUUUGUAAGUCUCUUGUGAAAUCUGAUAUCUUAAGUAUUGGGCGUGCAAGAGAUACUGCAAGGCUAGAGACCGGGAGACGUAAGGAGUACGGUUAGGGUAGCAGUAAAAUGCGUUGAUCCUUUCUGGACUAACGAUAGCGAAGGCACCUUACGAGAACGGAUCUGACAGUGAGGGAUGAAGGCUAGGGGCGCAAAACGGAUUAGAUACCCCCGUAGUC